rnacentral:rRNA from 1 species
AUUAAACGCUGGCGGCAUGCCUUACACAUGCAAGUCGAACGGCAGCACGGGGGCAACCCUGGUGGCGAGUGGCGGACGGGUGAGUAAAGCAUCGGAACGUAUCCUGGAGUGGGGGGAUAACGUAGCGAAAGUUACGCUAAUACCGCAUAUUCUGUGAGCAGGAGAGCAGGGGAUCGCAAGACCUUGCGCUCUGGGAGCGGCCGAUGUCGGAUUAGCUAGUUGGUGGGGUAAAGGCCUACCAAGGCGACGAUCCGUAGCGGGUCUGAGAGGAUGAUCCGCCACACUGGGACUGAGACACGGCCCAGACUCCUACGGGAGGCAGCAGUGGGGAAUUUUGGACAAUGGGCGGAAGCCUGAUCCAGCCAUGCCGCGUGAGUGAAGAAGGCCU